AUUUGCAACUGCGACCUGGCCAAGAUAAAGCUUAGCAGUGUGAACAGACAACACAGAGUUACACAUGGAGUAAACAAUUAACAAGUCAAUAACACAGUACAAAAAAGGGGAGUCUAUAUACAUUGUGUGCAAAAGGCAUGAGGAGCAUGCGUCUAUUCUGAUAUAAUCUACAUUUCCUGAGAAAGGAUCCUGGCCUCUUCUUCCCUGGAAUCACAAAGCUGUCACUGCAGUCUUCCAUGUUGAAAUUUAGACAAGAGAACAACGCCUCCUUAUGCCUUUCCCUCAGGAAUAAUCUCCGGACUCUCAAUGGCAGAGAUGUUGUCACGGAAACCAGUCUGGCAGCCACUUUAGAACCGUCAACAUGCAUGACAGCUAAUUUUCUACCCUGAAUUUUUUUACUUUUAAAUUAAUUAAAUAGCCAUUGAUUCUCAAAGAAUAUGACAUAAAUGUCUAACAAGCUUAGUUGAACUGUCUUACUCAUCAGAACCCCAACUAUAUGCUUGCUUUAGCCAAUUGUUUGUAAACCAAAUAAUUGUAAACAAUGUAUAGCUUCAAAACAUGAU